AUUGAACGCUGGCGGCAGGCUUAACACAUGCAAGUCGAGCGGAUGAAAGUAGCUUGCUACUGGAUUCAGCGGCGGACGGGUGAGUAAUGCUUAGGAAUCUGCCUAUUAGUGGGGGACAACGUUCCGAAAGGAGCGCUAAUACCGCAUACGUCCUACGGGAGAAAGCAGGGGACCUUCGGGCCUUGCGCUAAUAGAUGAGCCUAAGUCGGAUUAGCUAGUUGGUAGGGUAAAGGCCUACCAAGGCGACGAUCUGUAGCGGGUCUGAGAGGAUGAUCCGCCACACUGGGACUGAGACACGGCCCAGACUCCUACGGGAGGCAGCAGUGGGGAAUAUUGGACAAUGGGGGGAACCCUGAUCCAGCCAUGCCGCGUGUGUGAAGAAGGCCUUUUGGUUGUAAAGCACUUUAAGCGAGGAGGAGGCUACCUAGAUUAAUACUUUAGGAUAGUGGACGUUACUCGCAGAAUAAGCACCGGCUAACUCUGUGCCAGCAGCCGCGGUAAUACAGAGGGUGCGAGCGUUAAUCGGAUUUACUGGGCGUAAAGCGUGCGUAGGCGGCCAAUUAAGUCAAAUGUGAAAUCCCCGAGCUUAACUUGGGAAUUGCAUUCGAUACUGGUUGGCUAGAGUAUGGGAGAGGAUGGGUAGAAUUCCAGGUGUAGCGGUGAAAUGCGUAGAGAUCUGGAGGAAUACCGAUGGCGAAAGCAGCCAUCUGGCCUAAUACUGACGC
rnacentral:rRNA from 1 species